CCUCAUGUGGUAGAAAUAAGGUUUUAAGAUGAAGGUUGUGUAAACACAGCUAUAAGGCUAGUCAAGUUUUGGGAAAGAAAUGUGGUAUUUUUCCUUUAAUUAUUGUAGAGAUUGACACAAAAUUUACUAUGACCUUUGAGUGAUAUGGUACGAGCUUGUUAGCUCCAGCACCUGUGAUGGGCUGGAAAGAGAAUUUUCUUCAUGUUUGUUCACAAAAAUGUGGAACACUGUAACCAAAGGAGAGGGAGGUGUCCUAAAAAGGUUUUUACAAUGGACAUGUGUAUUUGAUCAAUCUGUCUUCAACAAAGCAAGAUGUCAAAGAACCAUCUGAGAAAAGAAAGUAGAGGAUAAUUCAGAACUAUCUUAAAAUCCUCAAACUGUACUUUUCAGAUUGAAUGGCUGUUUUCAAAUUACUGGAUGGAGGUUGUUGCAUAGGUUUCACAGUGCCUCUGUAACCCUUAAUGAGGACAUCUGAGCACACAGCAGCCAUCUGAGUUAAGAGCCUCUGAGGGAAACAUAUAACAUAUAAAGAAUUAGCUGGUGUACAGAUCAACUUAAAACUCUG